UCUCUUCCUAGAAAGGGAAAUACAAAGUCAAAUUCUUCAGGUGUCUAGUUCAGCACGGUGCACCAGUACUUUCUGCAGUGAUGCAAAUGUUCUAAUCUGUGCUGUCCAAUAUGGCGGCCAUUAGCACUUAAGAUGUGAUCAGUGUGAGUGACAUAUGAAAUUUUUAGUCAUAAUUUUAAAAAUUAUGUUUAAAUAGACAUGUUGGGGCACCUGGGUGGCCCAGGCAUUAAGCAUCUGCCUUCGGCUCAGGUCAUGAUCCCAGAGUUCUGGGAACGAGCCCCGUAUUGGGCUCCCUGCUCAGCAGGAAACCUGCUUCUCUCUCUGCCCACUCCCCCUUCUGGUGCUCCCUCUAUUGCAGUCUCUCUCUCUGUCAAAUAAAUAAAUAAAAUCUUAAGAAUAAAUAAAUAAAUAAAUAAAUAAAUAGCCACAUGUGACUAGGGACUACCGUACUGGACAGUGCAAGCCAAGAUGAACAUAGUAUUAAAAUCUGAGAAACAGGGACGCCUGGGAAAUUUCUAGCAAUUAAUGAUAAAGUGCUUUCCAUGACUUCUAGAGUCUGGCUAUAUUAAACUUAGUAACUAUUGAUAUGUAAGUCCCUGAUUUAGAAACCCAAAUCAAGAAUUUAGAAUUUUUUAACUUAUUAAUCAAUUCCAGUAUAGUGAACGCACAUUGUUAUAUUGGUUUCAGACGAACCAUCCUGGAACUCAAGACCUCCACACAACACCCAGUGCUCCUAACGACUGGUGCACUCCUCCAUCCCUGGCCCCCAUUUCCCCUCUGGGAAUCAUCAGUUUGUUCUCUAUAGUUAAAGAGUCUAUUUCUUGCUUUAUCUCUCUAUUUUCCCUUUGCUUGUUUUGAUUCUUAAAUUCCACAGAUGAGUGAAAUCAUAUGGUAUCUCUCUUUCUCUGACUGGUUUAUAAAGUGGCUAUUUCUAUGCAUAGAAUGGCUUUCCAAUCUAAGUACCAAAGGCAGGCGAAGGGUGCUCUAUUCAAAAUGGCAUCCUGCAUCACUUAAAAUAAUGAAGAGCUUAAUUUCUAACCUGGAAGUUCUUAGAGUUCAGUAAUUUUGGCCCAUGUGUGUUUGCUGUAGGAAAUGCACAACCAAUUAUGUCUAAUGGCCUGAUGCAGAAACAAAACGAUAUUUUCUUCCGGUUGUCUGAAACUCAUACUACUCCCAAAUGUCGAAGAAUUGUCAGUUAAUCACAGAAUUAAGAUCUGAGAAUUCAGAUGGAAAAAGUCUACAUCAAACUUAGAAGGGAAAAAUGAAUGGGGACUAUUGCUCAAGGGGAGCAAAAGUAUAGAAAUUAUUUCAAUUUGGAUUUGGAGAGUUAACAGAAUAAGGCUGAACAUGCUGGGAAGUUUUUGUUUCAGAUGCUGCUUAACUCCCAAAACCGGAACUGAUACUUUACGAUAAUUCAUGCACUAUAUAUGAGCAUAUGUAAUUACAAGUUUGUUUCUCAGGUAUGGCAAAGACUUUGACAUUGAAAGAUGGAAGUCUGUUAAAUGUUAACUUAGUAACAAUCUAUUACGGUCUACAUCGGUCAUAGGUUUAAGCUACAAAAAUACUCAAAGACUGCCCUUAUGUACGAUUGAACGCAGGCAGAGAAGAGGGUGUACAACUUCUUGGAAGGAGACAAUGCUUGAAAGUUUCCUAUUAAAUCCUUGUAUCUUCUAGGGGAAGAGUCUGGGGAACAAACUGGGGAACCUCCCACGUACUCAUUCUCCGUCUGUCCUCUUACUCUCUUUGGCGUUCUCUGCAAGAUGACAAAAUGCUAAGAUUUUGUCGCCUGCUGCUUCUCGAAGCCAGAGACUGCCCUAGACUUAUCUUCCACUCUUUAGUUUGUCACAGAAAUUCUCAGGUAUUGGAGUGGCCAUCUCGAUAAAAUCACUGCAUUGCUGGAGAACUGUUCCUUCUCAGAGUACACAAAGGCACUCAGUGAUCAUUCACUUUCGGCUUGGUGCUCAGGAGGUAAAGAUAGAGGACUGUGUGUCUGCAUGAAUGCUGAAAGAAAAGCUCUCUUAUACAGCCACCAUCCUUCCUUGUCCUCUUUUGAAAUGCUACAACGAUAUCAAGGACCAGGCUAAGGAAUUGGGAUGGUAGAGGGCAUAGAUUUUCAUUGAUUCUGCUCACUGAUCAACAUCCCAGUGCCUGCCAUGAAGUAGGCACUUGGCAAAUAUCUGUCAACUAAAUGAGCAGAUUAGGUGACUCUACUUUAUGGAUGAAGGAUGGAGCAUAUAUAUAUAUAUAUUUUUUUUCUUUUUUUAAGAGAGUUUUUUUUUUUUUUUUUAAAGAUUAUUUAUGACACAGAGAGAGACAGAGAGAGAAAGCCCAAGCAAAGGGAGCAGCAGGCACAGGGAGAGGGAGAAGCAGGCUCCCCAAGGAUCAGGGAGCCUGACACAGGGCUCAAUCCCAGGAACCCAGGAUCAUGACCUGAGCCGAAGGCAGUUGUUUAACCAACUGAGCCAGCCAAGCACCCUGAAGGUUGGUAUGUUUAACUACACACUAUGUCCACUAUCUUAGGCUCAUCCCACUUAUACUUGGAGAAAAACAUAUCCAAUGCCCAGAUGAAGUUAUUUUAUUCAGCAUUGUCUUAGCCUUAAAUCAUCCAUAAGGAAUAAUUCUGAGUAAACUUGCACUGGAAAAUAAAUGGCCCAUUAGGAACCACUUUAAAGAUUCUCACUGUGUGAGCUAAAACCUGGAGCAGAGGCAGUAAGUGGUCCAUUUCUACAGAACCUGCUGAUCUGAUGUCUGUCUGGAGAUCCCUGGGCCUAUGACUCAUCACAUUUUCAAAACUACAGAGCACAGUAAAAAUGAGACCCAGGUUUUUAAAUGGCUCCAGAGAAGGAUCUAUUUUAGUUCCUGAUUUCUGAAAUUCUAACCACGGGAAAAGUGCAGAUGGUAGGGACACCCAUUUUGUGAGGUCUGAGUUCAUCUCCAGUUAGGUCACCUGGGCCUCUCCUCAAGGUCCAAGCAGUUGAAAGGGAGAGACAGGUCAUUUUAGUAAAGGAGAGACAAUGGCCUUUUUGGAGACUCAGGGCCUGAAGGGAUGGACUAGUAAUAAUGCAUUUUAAAAAAAUAUUCAACAUCAGAGUUUCCCUUCCUUUGGGACAUUCUGAUGUCCCAACUGGAAAACAGACCUACUUCCCAACAAGAAACAGCCUCAGGCUUACUGACUUGAGUCAUAAACUUCUUUGUUGAGGCGUGCGGAGUGGUUAUAAUUUUGAGAAAUAAUUCUUGAUCCCUAAACUUUCACCCUUUCCCCUGACAGGGGAGCAGCUGAUACUGGGAAUUCUUUUGUUCUACAGAUACUCUGAAAAAGAAGCAUUUGCAAAGUGGGUGGUGGUGGUGGUGGUUGGCUCUGUGAAAACAAGUUUCCUUUUUAUAUUGCUUGUUGCUUAUCACAGCUCUUUCCAUCUUGCCUGUUCCCCCUUUGUCCACUGUCCCCUCAAACACCAAGUUCACAUGCGCACAAUGAAGUACAGAAGAAAAAAAUGGGUGCUAUCAGGGUUUCUGGAUGACCAGAUCGAAAAAAAGAAUGGCGUUCCUCUACUUUCCCCCUAAAUUGAUCUUUUAAUAUAUUUAUGUCAUAGACUUAGUGAGGGACUUCCUUAAAAUUAAUUAAAAGAACCACAGGGACACCUGGGUGGCUCAGCCAUUAAGCAUCUACCUUCGGCUCAGGUCAUGAUCCCAAGGUUCUGAGAUCGAGCCCCACACUGGGCUGCUUGCUCAGCACGAAGCCUGCUUCUCCCUUUCCCACUCCCCUUGCUUGUGUUCCCUCUCUUGCUGUCUCUCUCUCUGUCAAAUAAAUAAAUAAAAUCUUUAAAAAUAAAUAAAUAAAAGAACUACAAACAUAGGAUCACUGAAA